rnacentral:rRNA from 1 species
AAUAGAUACCCGGGUAGUCCACGCCGUAAACGAUGUCGACUUGGAGGUUGUGCCCUUGAGGCGUGGCUUCCGGAGCUAACGCGUUAAGUCGACCGCCUGGGGAGUACGGCCGCAAGGUUAAAACUCAAAUGAAUUGACGGGGGCCCGCACAAGCGGUGGAGCAUGUGGUUUAAUUCGAUGCAACGCGAAGAACCUUACCUACUCUUGACAUCCACGGAAUUUAGCAGAGAUGCUUUAGUGCCUUCGGGAACCGUGAGACAGGUGCUGCAUGGCUGUCGUCAGCUCGUGUUGUGAAAUGUUGGGUUAAGUCCCGCAACGAGCGCAACCCUUAUCCUUUGUUGCCAGCGGUUAGGCCGGGAACUCAAAGGAGACUGCCAGUGAUAAACUGGAGGAAGGUGGGGAUGACGUCAAGUCAUCAUGGCCCUUACGAGUAGGGCUACACACGUGCUACAAUGGCAUAUACAAAGAGAAGCGACCUCGCGAGAGCAAGCGGACCUCAUAAAGUAUGUCGUAGUCCGGAUUGGAGU